rnacentral:rRNA from 1 species
CACGGGUGCGUAACGCGUGGGAAUCUGCCCUUAGGUUCGGAAUAACAGCGAGAAAUUGCUGCUAAUACCGGAUGAUGGCUUCGGCCCAAAGAUUUAUCGCCUAGGGAUGAGCCCGCGUAAGAUUAGGUAGUUGGUGUGGUAAAGGCGCACCAAGCCGACGAUCUUUAGCUGGUCUGAGAGGAUGAUCAGCCACACUGGGACUGAGACACGGCCCAGACUCCUACGGGAGGCAGCAGUGGGGAAUAUUGGACAAUGGGCGCAAGCCUGAUCCAGCAAUGCCGCGUGAGUGAUGAAGGCCUUAGGGUUGUAAAGCUC